rfam:Glossina pallidipes unplaced genomic scaffold Scaffold121, whole genome shotgun sequence.
GGAGAUAGUUUUUAGUACGUAGACGCCAUAGAUGGCGAAUCGUGCAUGUUCCUACUAAGAACCAAUAGUGUCUCUUGAAGAUUUCUACCUCC